rnacentral:rRNA from 1 species
ACCCCGGGAGGGGAGUGAAAUAGAUCCUGAAACCGCAUGCUUACAAAAAGUAGGAGCCUCGAAAGGGGUGACUGCGUACCUUUUGUAUAAUGGGUCAGCGACUUACAUUCAGUGGCAAGGUUAACCGAAUAGGGAAGCCGUAGAGAAAUCGAGUCCGAAUAGGGCGAAUUAGUCGCUGGGUGUAGACCCGAAACCAAGUGAUCUAUCCAUGGCCAGGAUGAAGGUGCCGUAACAGGUACUGGAGGUCCGAACCGACUAAUGUUGCAAAAUUAGCGGAUGAGCUGUGGAUAGGGGUGAAAGGCUAAACAAACUUGGAAAUAGCUGGUUCUCUCCGAAAACUAUUUAGGUAGUGCCUCAAGUAUUACCAUCGGGGGUAGAGCACUGUUUUGGCUAGGGGGUCAUGGCGACUUACCAAACCAAGGCAAACUCCGAAUACCGAUGAGUACAGCUUGGGAGACAGAGCACCGGGUGCUAACGUCCGGACUCAAGAGGGAAACAACCCAGACCGCCAGCUAAGGUCCCUAAAAUUGGCUAAGUGGGAAACGAAGUGGGAAGGCUAAAACAGUCAGGAUGUUGGCUUAGAAGCAGCCAUCAUUUAAAGAAAGCGUAAUAGCUCACUGAUCGAGUCGUCCUGCGCGGAAGAUGUAACGGGGCUAAGCCAGUUACCGAAGCUGCGGAUUUGCAAUUUAUUGCAAGUGGUAGGAGAGCGUUCUGUAAGCCUGUGAAGGUGGCGGUGUAAACCCUGCUGGAGGUAUCAGAAGUGCGAAUGCUGACAUGAGUAGCGUUAAAGGGGGUGAAAAGCCCCCUCGCCGUAAGCGCAAGGUUUUCUACGCAACGUUCAUCGGCGUAGAGUGAGUCGGCCCCUAAGGCGAGGCAGAGAUGCGUAGCUGAUGGGAAACAGGUCAAUAUUCCUGUACCGAUGUGUAGUGCGAUGUGGGGACGGAGAAGGUUAGCUCAGCCAACUGUUGGAUAUGUUGGUUCAAGCCUGUAGUCGUGCCUGGUAGGUAAAUCCGCCGGGCUUAGAUGAGGGGUGAUAACGAGUCUGCUUGCAGACGAAGUGAGUGAUACCCUGCUUCCAGGAAAAGCCACUAAGCUUCAGCUACACACGACCGUACCGCAAACCGACACUGGUGCGCGAGAUGAGUAUUCUAAGGCGCUUGAGAGAACUCAGGAGAAGGAACUCGGCAAAUUGACACCGUAACUUCGGAAGAAGGUGUGCCCUGUUAGGGUGAAGGGACUUGCUCCCGGAGCUCGAGAGGGUUUCAGAGAAUCGGUGGCUGCGACUGUUUAUUAAAAACAUAGCACUGUGCUAACACGAAGAGUGGACGUAUACGGUGUGACGCCUGCCCGGUGCUGGAAGGUUAAAUGAUGGGGUGCAAGCUCUUGAUUGAAGCCCCAGUAAACGGCGGCCGUAACUAUAACGGUCCUAAGGUAGCGAAAUUCCUUGUCGGGUAAGUUCCGACCUGCACGAAUGGCGUAACGAUGGCCACACUGUCUCCUCCUGAGACUCAGCGAAGUUGACAUGGUUGUGAUGAUGCAAUCUACCCGCGGCUAGACGGAAAGACCCCGUGCACCUUUACUGCAGCUUUGCAUUGGACUGUGAUGGAAUUUGUGUAGGAUAGCUGGGAGGCUAUGAAGAGUAGACGCUAGUUUGCUUGGAGCCAUCCUUGAAAUACCAGCCUGAUUGUAUUGCGGUUCUAACCUAGGUCCCUUAUCGGGAUCGGGGACCAUGCAUGGUAGGCAGUUUGACUGGGGCGGUCUCCUCCCAAAGAGUAACGGAGGAGUUCGAAGGUUCGCUAGGUACGGUCGGACAUCGUACUGAUAGUGCAUUGGCAUAAGCGAGCUUGACUGCGAGACUGACGGGUCGAGCAGGUGCGAAAGCAGGACAAAGUGAUCCGGUGGUUCUGAAUGGAAGGGCCAUCGCUCAACGGAUAAAAGGUACGCCGGGGAUAACAGGCUGAUCUCCCCCAAGAGUUCAUAUCGACGGGGAGGUUUGGCACCUCGAUGUCGGCUCAUCACAUCCUGGGGCUGUAGCCGGUCCCAAGG